ensembl:rRNA 5S_rRNA 5S ribosomal RNA
GUCUACAGCCAUACCACCCUGGACGCACCUGAUCUCAUCUGAUCUCGGAAGCUAAGCAGGGUCGGGCCUGGUUAGUACUUGGAUGUGUGUUUUGGGGGAGCGAGGGCAGUAGUGA